GAUGAACGCUGGCGGCGUGCUUAACACAUGCAAGUCGAACGGUGAAGCAGGAGCUUGCUCCUGUGGAUCAGUGGCGAACGGGUGAGUAACACGUGAGCAAUCUGCCCUGGACUCUGGGAUAAGCGUUGGAAACGACGUCUAAUACCGGAUACGAGGCGUGGGGGCAUCCCCAACGCCUGGAAAGAACUUCGGUCCAGGAUGAGCUCGCGGCCUAUCAGGUAGUUGGUGAGGUAACGGCUCACCAAGCCGACGACGGGUAGCCGGCCUGAGAGGGUGACCGGCCACACUGGGACUGAGACACUGCCCAGACUCCUACGGGAGGCAGCAGUGGGGAAUAUUGCACAAUGGGCGCAAGCCUGAUGCAGCAACGCCGCGUGAGGGACGACGGCCUUCGGGUUGUAAACCUCUUUUAGCAGGGAAGAAGCGAAAGUGACGGUACCUGCAGAAAAAGCACCGGCUAACUACGUGCCAGCCGCCGCGGUAAUAC
rnacentral:rRNA from 1 species